rfam:Valsa mali var. pyri strain SXYL134 unplaced genomic scaffold scaffold00024, whole genome shotgun sequence.
GGUUGUAUGGUGUAAUGGUUAGCACUCCAGAUUCUGAUUCUGGCAAUUUGGGUUCGAUUCCCAAUACGACCU